rnacentral:rRNA from 1 species
AGAGUUUGAUCCUGGCUCAGGAUGAACGCUGGCGGCGUGCCUAAUACAUGCAAGUCGAACGCGGGCACUUGUGCCCGAGUGGCGAACGGGUGAGUAAUACAUAAGUAACCUGGCCUUUACAGGGGGAUAACUGCUGGAAACGGCAGCUAAGACCGCAUAGGUAGGGACACUGCAUGAUGACCGUAUUAAAAGUGCUGCAAGGCACUGGUAGAGGAUGGACUUAUGGCGCAUUAGCUGGUUGGUGAGGUAACGGCUCACCAAGGCGACGAUGCGUAGCCGACCUGAGAGAGUGACCGGCCACACUGGGACUGAGACACGGCACAGACUCCUACGGGAGGCAGCAGUAGGGAAUUUUCGGCAAUGGGGGGAACCCUGACCGAGCAACGCCGCGUGAAGGAAGAAGGAAUUCGUUCUGUAAACUUCUGUUAUAAAGGAAGAAAGACGGAUGGAGGAAAUGACAUCCGAGUGACGGUACUUUAUGAGAAAGCCACGGCUAACUACGUGCCAGCAGCCGCGGUAAUACGUAGGUGGCAAGCGUUAUCAGGAAUUAUUGGGCGUAAAGAGGGAGCAGGCGGCAGCAAAGGUCUGUGGUGAAAGACUGAAGCUUAACUUCAGUAAGCCAUAGAAACCGGGCAGCUAGAGUGCAGGAGAGGAUCGUGGAAUUCCAUGUGUAGCGGUGAAAUGCGUAGAUAUAUGGAGGAACACCAGUGGCGAAGGCGACGAUCUGGCCUGCAACUGACGCUCAGUCCCGAAAGCGUGGGGAGCAAAUAGGAUUUGAUACCCUAGUAGUCCACGCCGUAAACGAUGAGUACUAAGUGUUGGAAGUCAAAUUUCAGUGCUGCAGUUAACGCAGUAAGUACUCCGCCUGAGUAGUACGUUCGCAAGAAUGAAACUCAAAGGAAUUGACGGGGGCCCGCACAAGCGGUGGAGCAUGUGGUUUAAUUCGAAGCAACGCGAAGAACCUUACCAGGUCUUGACAUACUUAUAAAGGAUCCAGAGAUGGAUAGAUAGUUAUAUGAGAUACAGGUGGUGCAUGGUUGUCGUCAGCUCGUGUCGUGAGAUGUUGGGUUAAGUCCCGCAACGAGCGCAACCCUUGUCGUUAGUUACCAUCAUUAAGUUGGGGACUCUAGCGAGACUGCCAGUGACAAGCUGGAGGAAGGCGGGGAUGACGUCAAAUCAUCAUGCCCCUUAUGACCUGGGCUACACACGUGCUACAAUGGAUGGUGCAGAGGGAAGCGAAGCCGCGAGGCGAAGCAAAACCCAUAAAACCAUUCUCAGUUCGGAUUGUAGUCUGCAACUCGACUACAUGAAGUUGGAAUCGCUAGUAAUCGCGAAUCAGCAUGUCGCGGUGAGUACGUUCUCGGGCCUUGCACACAGCGCCCGUCA